GCAAGUCGAACGCUGACAUUAGGGUAGCAAUAUUUAGGUGUCGGAGUGGCGCAAGGGUGCGUAACACGUGGGUAAUUUGCCGUAAAGUCUGGGAUAACUUGCUGAACGGCGAGCUAAUACCGGAUGUGAAUUCUUGAAGGCAUCUUUGAGAAUUCAAAGUUGGGGACCGCAAGGCCUGACGCUUUACGAUAAGCCCGCGGCCUAUCAGCUAGUUGGUGAGGUAACGGCUCACCAAGGCUAAGACGGGUAGCUGGUCUGAGAGGACGACCAGCCUCACUGGAACUGAGACACGGUCCAGACACCUACGGGUGGCAGCAGUCGAGAAUUUUUCUCAAUGGGCGAAAGCCUGAAGGAGCGACGCCGCGUGGGGGAUGAAUGGCUUCGGCCCGUAAACCCCUGUCAUUUGUGAACAAAUUGCUUCACCUAACACGUGAAGCAUUGAUUGUAACGGAAGAGGAAGGGACGGCUAACUCUGUGCCAGCAGCCGCGGUAAUACAGAGGUCCCAAGCGUUGUUCGGAUUCACUGGGCGUAAAGGGUGCGUAGGCGGUUUGAUAAGUCUGAUGUGAAAUCCCGCAGCUUAACUGCGGAACUGCAUUGGAAACUAUUUAACUAGAGGAAUGGAGGGGAGACUGGAAUACUUGGUGUAGCAGUGAAAUGCGUAGAUAUCAAGUGGAACACCAGUGGCGAAGGCGAGUCUCUGGACAUUUCCUGACGCUGAGGCACGAAAGCCAGGGGAGCAAACGGGAUUAGAUACCCCGGUAGUCCUGGCCCUAAACGGUGCGCGUUUGCUGUGAGCGGAAUCGACCCCGCUCGUGGCGAAGCUAACGCGUUAAACGCGCCGCCUGGG
rnacentral:rRNA from 1 species